rnacentral:rRNA from 1 species
AUUGAACGCUGGCGGCAGGCCUAACACAUGCAAGUCGAGCGGGGUUUUCGGACCUAGCGGCGGACGGGUGAGUAAUGCGUAGGAAGCUGCCCGAUAGAGGGGGAUACCAGUUGGAAACGACUGUUAAUACCGCAUAAUGUCUACGGACCAAAGUGUGGGACCUUCGGGCCACAUGCUAUCGGAUGCGCCUACGUGGGAUUAGCUAGUUGGUGAGGUAAUGGCUCACCAAGGCGACGAUCUCUAACUGGGUUGAGAGGAUGAGCAGCCAGACUGGAACUGAGGCACGGUCCAGACGCCUACUGGAGUCAGCAGUGGGGAAUAUUGGACAAUGGGCGCAAGCCUGAUCAAGCCAUGCCGCGUGUAUGAAGAAGGCCUUCGGGUUGUAAAGCACUUUCAGCGAGGAGGAAGGGUGGUGUGUUAAUAGCUCAUCAUUUUGACGUUACUCGCAGAAGAAGCACCGGCUAACUCUGUGCCAGCCGCCGCCGUAAGAC